UGUGCAUGUGUGGGGUCCUUCGUUUCCUUCCGAAGGCAACUCUGCAUCACACGUCAAUGUCCUCGUCUCCAUGCCUCCUCUCACAUCUCAUCAGUCAUCACCUCCACCAACAGGCCACCUCCUCUCCCCCCCUUGUUUUAGAGAAUUCUCCUACCCAUUUGCCUCUGAAUCACGGAUCAUGAUCCAUGGAGGUGGCCGGCACGGACGUCAUCAAGAGAUAGCCAGCCAGUGUCGCUCGAGGGAGACGGGGUCUCGAUGGCGUUGAGGCAUCCUCGCCGGGCGCUCGGACCAUGAUCCCUGUGUCACUGCUCUUCCUAUUCAUGGCAAACGACGAGCACGGUGAGACCUUUCUUGUUAGCUUUAUCGAUUUGCAAAUAGAUAGGUCCCCAGUGCGGCGACUCCCCAAGGCGAAGAAGAGGCGUGGUCACGUCUGAAGGCGAGUUAGGAGAUAAGCCAGUCCUGGAGGAGGUGAUCUCCGACGCCGGCAUCCUUGUCGUCGAUCUUUCCCAUGCGACGCGAGCACUAAGAUAAUCUGUUUGGUAAGGAUCAACCAACCACAACUAAUCCAUGGCUCGGUAAUGCAACGGCGCCGUCGCCAGCGGGAUCAAGCAACAGUUUGGUCAGACUCUGACUUUUUCCUUCCCCAGCCGCCGCCUUGGACAUCGUCCCUGCUGCCUUUUUUGUGCGCGUGUGUGUUUGGUUUUGCUUUCGUUGGUCCGUUUCACUACUUGCCAUAUCUGAAUCAUGUGAAGGUGCGUGCGUUCGUGCAUUGGAAUUUCCACCACACUGUAGAGCAGCCGUCAGGUAGCUGCAAUGUGUUGGUCCACAGGGCCCUGAAUGAUUCUUCGUAGAUCCAUAUUGAGCUUGCUUGAUUGUUACUUAACUACGAUCUCUUGCAUCAGUGUUGUGCUUACCUUUUGUGUUGUAAAUGCAGGGGAAGGGGUGAGGAGUUAGUUGCCUGCCAUUUCAUCAGGCCAUGGUGUGGUGUAGCAGUGGCCUUCACAUCAAAAUAACGAGAGCUUUUAGAUGAUCUCGAGAUGGUGAGGAGCCGAGAGUACCUAGAUUGUGAAGGACAGACUGUCAUGCUGCCUAUGCGCCAUCGACCCAUGUGGAUAAUCAUGCUAUUGUGCCUCGUCUGUGUCGCACUGAUCGGGGCGUAUGUGUACCUCCCGUGGCACUACUCGUAAUGCUACCUCUUUGCUUCUAGCGUCUGCACACUAUUCAAGGAUUGGCUCCUGUCCAUUUGCUGCCGGAAGCGAACUGAUGACGAGAUCAUCUCGGACGCUCUUAUCAAGGAUAUCAUUGGAAUGACCAUGUCCGCGUCAAAGAAUCUAAAUAUUGCUUUUAUGUUCUUGACACCUGGUUCAUUGCCCUUUGAGAAAUUAUGGCAGAAAUUUUUGCAGGUUUGCCUGAUUUCACCUCUUGUCCUUGUGCAUGUCUGCUAACCGGUGAUGCCAAGGUUUGCCCAAAUUUAUUCGAUCCAUGCCAAAGUGACAUACCAAUCGAUAGGUGGUUGAUGAGCUACAUUAUUUUAAAGGUGGUCUAUGCCAAAAUGACCGAACAAGGGUGUGCGCAGGUUCUUGCAGAAGCAUAGUGAUGAUGAGACAUUUCUUGUUGCUGAUUAUAAACUUGAAAAUGAUACAUAGUAUUUUUAAAGGUGAUUUAUCCAUGGAAAUGAUGUGUUUGUCAAUUGCUUAAGGGUGAUUAGUAUUUACAUGUUGCAA